rnacentral:rRNA from 1 species
GACGAACGCUGGCGGCGUGCUUAACACAUGCAAGUCGAACGGAAAGGCCCCUUUGGGGGUACUCGAGUGGCGAACGGGCGAGUAAGACGUGCGUAACCUGCCCUUGACUUCGGGAUAACUUCAGUAAACUGGGGCUAAUACCGGAUAGGAAUCCUUGCUGCAUGGUGGGGGUUGGAAAGCUUCGGGCGUUUUGGCUGGACUCGCGGCUUAUCAGCCUGUUGGUUGGGUGGUGGCUUACCAAGGAUUUGUCGGGUAGGCGGCCUGGGUGGGCGACCGGCCACAUUGGGACUGAGAUUCGGCCCAGACUCCUACGGGGGGCAACAGUGGGGAAUAUUGCACAAUGGGCGGGAGCCUGAUGCCGCAACGCCGCGUGCGGGAUGACGGCCUUCGGGUUGUAAACCGCUUUCCGCAGGGGCGAAGCUUGUGGUGACGGUACCUGCAGAAGAAGCACCGGCUAACUACGUG